GUGCCAGCAGCCGCGGUAAUACGGGGGGGGCAAGCGUUGUUCGGAAUUACUGGGCGUAAAGGGCUCGUAGGCGGCCGUUUUAGUCCGACGUGAAAUCCCACGGCUCAACCGUGGAACUGCGUCGGAUACUGAAUGGCUUGAAUCCAAGAGAGGGAUGCGGAAUUCCAGGUGUAGCGGUGAAAUGCGUAGAUAUCUGGAGGAACACCGGUGGCGAAGGCGGCAUCCUGGAUUGGUAUUGACGCUGAGGAGCGAAAGCCAGGGGAGCAAACGGGAUUAGAAACCCCAGUAGUCC
rnacentral:rRNA from 1 species